CGGGUUAGCUCAGUUGGCCAGAGCGACUGAUUUGUAAUCAGUAGGUCGUUGGUUCAAAUCCGACACUCGG
rnacentral:tRNA from 1 species